GUGCACCACUGCCUGGCGCCCAUAAAGACGCCUCCACCACCUGCGCCGCCGCCGCCUCCCGGCCGCCCUCCGCCCCGCGCGCUCGUUGAGGCCGGUGCUCCAGAGUGAAGAGCGUGGCGGUGCGGCGGUAGCGCAGGGCCCUCCUGCGGGGCCAGGCAGGGGCGGGUGGGCGCUCCUUGCCACCUUUCUGCUCUCCCUGCUGUCCGAGAAGUUCGUGCGGUGCCAGCCCAGCUCCCAGCUGGGGACAGAACAGGAAACGUCCCCGGCGAGCCUGGCGGGGGUGGCGGCAGGGGUGUCUGUCGCCUGCGCUGGGCAGGACGCGCGUCCUACCGGCCUCCCACUCCGCGGGCCUCACCAGCCACCUCAUUCCCGGAGCCCGGGCCGCCGAGAGCGCCGCGGAUGGACCUCAGGGAAGGCCUGGCGCGCCGCCUCCGGGAAGCCUUCCGGCCUUCUCCCUCCACCGAGUACUGGGGAGUCUCAGGCCACGGUGAAUGAAGAGCAACGGGCCGGAGAGACCUCGGCCUCUGCCCAGGAGCAGCGCCCAGCAACCCCGCCCACAGGGGACCCGGUGGACGCCCUGGUGGCCACUUUGCCAGGCUCCCCAUCUCCCAGCGAACCAGAGAGGAUUUCCGUUCCCCUCCUGCUUGGUGCCUAGCGCCAGGGCGGGGCGUGGGCUGAGCAGCCCCUCCCAUGGAGGGAGCGGCCAGUCUACAUAUUGGAGGUGGGGCUCUGGGGAAAGGGUGUUGUUAGGAAGGCGGUUUGAGGCAGCGGGAGGUGGGGAUGCGCCCGGCGGGGAGGGGCAGGUGUGUGGGGAGGGCCUGGGGAGCGCCUCCCCAGCCGGGCAGCGCUUCCCCAGCCAGGCCCCGCAGCUGGACCCCGGCUCCGUCCAGCCUGGGAAAGGACUCCACGGUUUAUGCUGAAGUGGUGGUGGGGUGGGUGAACGCUGCGCAAUGGAAGGGCAUGGCCCUGUGCUAAUUGCCCCGGGGUGUGGGGCUGUGGAGGCACUGCGGGGGGGAUGUGCUGUGUCAGUUGGGCAAUGGCGGCCAACUGUGGCGUGCAGGCCUUGGAGCUGCCCCUCCAUGGAGCUUUAAUAAAGGCACUAGCCCUGCAAUUUCUGCCUGA
rnacentral:lncRNA from 1 species